NGUGACCCCUUACGCGUUGCUUUGUUGACGCUCGCUA
rnacentral:rRNA from 1 species